UACAGAGGUCCCAAGCGUUGUUCGGAUUCACUGGGCGUAAAGGGUGCGUAGGUGGUCAGGUAAGUCGGAUGUGAAAUCUCCGAGCUCAACUCGGAAACUGCAUUGGAAACUACCUGGCUCGAGGGUUGGAGGGGGGACUGGAAUGCUUGGUGUAGCGGUGAAAUGCGCAGAUAUCAGGAGGAACACCCGUAGCGAAGGCGGCACUCUGGGCCGAUACUGACACUGAGGAGCGAAAGCGUGGGGAGCGAACAGG
rnacentral:rRNA from 1 species